UACGUAGGCAGCGAGCGUUGUUCGGAGUUACUGGGCGUAAAGGGUGUGUAGGCGGUUGUUUAAGUUUGGUGUGAAAUCUCCCGGCUCAACUGGGAGGGUGCGCCGAAUACUGAAUGACUUGGAGUGCUGGAGAGGAAAGUGGAAUUCCUGGUGUAGCGGUGAAAUGCGUAGAUAUCAGGAGGAACACCGGUGGUGUAGACGGCUUUCUGGACCGUAACUGACGCUGAGACACGAAAGCGUGGGUAGCAAACAGG
rnacentral:rRNA from 1 species